CAAGCGGUGGAGCAUGUGGUUUAAUUCGAUGCAACGCGAAGAACCUUACCUACUCUUGACAUCCAGCGAACUUAGCAGAGAUGCUUUGGUGCCUUCGGGAACGCUGAGACAGGUGCUGCAUGGCUGUCGUCAGCUCGUGUUGUGAAAUGUUGGGUUAAGUCCCGCAACGAGCGCAACCCUUAUCCUUUGUUGCCAGCGAUACGGUCGGGGACUCAAAGGAGGCUGCCGGUGAUAAACCGGAGGAAGGUGGGGAUGACGUCAAGUCAUCAUGGCCCUUACGAGUAGGGCUACACACGUGCUACAAUGGCGCAUACAAAGAGAAGCGACCUCGCGAGAGCAAGCGGACCUCAGAAAGUGCGUCGUAGUCCGGAUCGGAGUCUGCAACUCGACUCCGUGAAGUCGGAAUCGCUAGUAAUCGUGGAUCAGAAUGCCACGGUGAAUACGUUCCCGGGCCUUGUACACACC
rnacentral:rRNA from 1 species